GACGAACGCUGGCGGCGUGCUUAACACAUGCAAGUCGAACGGGAUUUAGUAGACAGAAGCCUCGGCCAAAGAUUACUAAUGAGAGUGGCGAACGGGUGAGUAACGCGUGAGCAACCUGCCUAUGACAGUGGGAUAGCCUCGGGAAACCGGGAUUAAUACCGCAUAAAAUCGUAGAAACACAUGUUUUAACGGUCAAAGAUUUAUCGGUCAUAGAUGGGCUCGCGUCUGAUUAGCUAGUUGGUGAGAUAACAGCCCACCAAGGCGACGAUCAGUAGCCGGUCUGAGAGGAUGAACGGCCACAUUGGAACUGAGACACGGUCCAAACUCCUACGGGAGGCAGCAGUGGGGAAUAUUGCACAAUGGGGGAAACCCUGAUGCAGCGACGCCGCGUGAACGAAGAAGGUAUUCGUAUCGUAAAGUUCUGUCCUAUGGGAAGAUAAUGACAGUACCAUAGAAGAAAGCUCCGGCUAAAUACGUG
rnacentral:rRNA from 1 species